AAAAAUGAUAUAUAACAUUCAGAUUUUUGUUUUGUGUAAGAAGUUUUAGUUUUUUUGUGUAAGUACGGGAGAGAAUUUUUUUUUGGUGUGUGCAAAAGUUUUUUUUUCCAAUAUAUUAUAUAGUCAUACAUGAUAUUAAAAAUAAAUAAAUAAAAUUGUUCUUGAAUUGUGUGUUGUCUCUUUAUAUAUGAUUCACCCCAUUUCUUAUGUAUAUGUGGUUCAUUCACUUUUUUUUUGCUAAAAGACAAAAUUAAACCCAUGAAAUGACGUUUCUCUUGUCAAUGUAUAACCUCAAACAAUUAAAAAGUGAAUGGAAGCUAAAAGCAGAUAAAUUUGUCCGCAUUUUAUCCUUCACCCAUUCAAGGCUAAAAUAAUGGAAGAACAUAACAAAAGCGGAUAUUAUGCAGAGCAAGAGAAACGUUUAUGUGUUUUUCAUUGAAGAUAAUAAAAUGGAUUUUCAGUGUUUCAUUAAUAAAAUAAUAAAAGAACAGUCUGCCCAAAGGCAGUUCAAUUUUGAGAAGAAAACAACUGAUCUACAUGCUACGAUACAAAAACCACUAUUUUGUUGUGUUUAUAAUUUGUUGUGUUUUUUUUUCUUUUCUUUCUUUCUUAAUUUU
rnacentral:sRNA from 1 species